rnacentral:misc_RNA from 1 species
UUUCCGUAGGUGAACCUGCGGAAGGAUCAUUACAGAGUUCAUGCCCGAAAGGGUAGACCUCCCACCCUUGUGUAUUAUUACUCUGUUGCUUUGGCGAGCGCAAGUUCGCCAGAGAAUACCAAAACUCUUUUUAUUAAUGUCGUCUGAGUACUAUAUAAUAGUUAAAACUUUCAACAACGGAUCUCUUGGUUCUG